GGCUGCACAGGCGGUGGAAGGCACAGACCGUGGUCCUUGGGCUGCAAGGACUGUGCAGGGGCCCGCUGGGUUGUGCAAGCUUCGGGAGUACAUGGCUCAGGUCCUGAAACAGUGCCUGGGAUGCAGCAGGCAUCAGGAACCACUGGUUGAAUGAGCCAAUGAGUUGGCGAAGGAAAAAGUCUUGCUCCUUUGCUAGGGCUGUGGUGACAAAGGACCACAGCCUGGGUGACUUAUGCAACAUCAGUUUAUCUGUCAUAAUCCUGAGGACCAGAAGUCUGAGAUCAGGGUGUUGGCGGAGUUGAUUCCUCCUCAUGCCUCUCUCCUUGGCUGAAGAGAAUGCAGUCUUUCAAGACCCCUGGUACAGAAGUCUUCAGAACAUGGAAGUAAGGACUAAACGAAGGAAGGAAUCCGAGAAUGUGCAGGGUGUUUAAGGGAUGGAAAUAAUUGCUUUCUAAAUGGGAACCUGGCCUCGGAGUGAACAUGUCAAGAGUAGCUACUCUGAACCUGGAAGAGACAGAAGCAGAAAACAUGUCUCCUGAUUCGUGUUCCAUUACUUUAAUCACUCAACACCACUCCGUUUAAGCUAAAGAGAUAUAAUGGCGCAUUUGACAGGUGUCUUCACAUCAAGAUUAGAUAGGAACCCUAGAAGUCUAAUGCUGAACCUUUCUUACCUUCUGCAGAGGAUGUCACUCAAAAUCUCUUCUCUCAAUCCCUCUUCUCUGACUGCUUACGAAAUUCAGACCCAUUCCUCCUGCAACCCAAUGCUCUCCUCAGGUGAACCUUGCUUUACACGAAACAUCUGUGUGUAAAUAACAUGGUAAUAAUUCAAGUCGUAUUCUAAGUGCAGCAUAGGGAUCUCGCUAUUGAAAGGAACACUGCAAUAAAUGCUUUUGUAAGGCAGAAUACCUCUUUUGUAAUGUACACAAUAUAAAUGUAGAUAAAGCUUCCAAUUUACCUAAGUUUAGAUUUUUACAUAGUGGAUUUCAUUAAAGCAGAACCUAUCUGUAAAUGAAAAUAUUUUAAGCUUCAGCCCUUUGCCCAUCAUAAUGGUUUUUUAAAAAUCUCAUUACAAUAAAACCCAUUAGUUUGAAUAAUUAAAUACAAAAAAAUGCUUUCCACAUGCAUUGAAAUUUCUGAUUUUAAUAGGAAAAAAACCCAACUGAGUGCCUUGUUUUUAAGCUCCUAUUUCAAUCUUGUUUUAAAAUGGCAAACAGUAUAAUAACUAGCAUCGAGCAGAAAGUACACUGCAGCACGGCCGGCUGACUGAGGAAAGACAGCCAGUGUCUACACUUAGGAAAAUAGAGGCAGAUACAAAGGAACAGGGUCUGAGUGUUCCAGACGUCUGGAGAACGUACUAGCUAAGAGGUCAACAUGUAUUACCUUAUUUCAAUCUUUACAACGAAGCGAGGGUUAGCCUCCCCAUUUCGGCAAAGGAAUGGAAGCUGGGAAAUGGGAAGUAACUUGUCCAGUGUCACACAGGUUCUAGCGAUGGUCAGAAGUCAAAUUCACCUCUCCGCAUCUCAAAUAAGAGCUCUUACCCCUUUUGCUUAUUUUGAGGUUGAAACUUAAAUUGUCGAUCUAUUAUCAUACAUUUUUGACCAACAAAGAUGGAAGCUCAUAGGGUUCAACUAAAACCUCUCUACCACACAGAAAUUAAAAUACGAAAAGGUAGUGUUGAUCCGAGGGUGACUUGAGCCUCUUUUGUAGGGCAGAAAGAGCUCAGAUCCUGUUUUUGUUCCCCUCCAGUCCUGCUCAUUUUCUGCCCCUCCCCACCCACAUCCCCACCUUUUUAUUCAGGAAUCUUUAGAGGGCACCAUGUGCACAACAGCUCCCAUGAGAAGUGCUGGAGAUGCCAACCUGAGUUCAACUUGGUGGGUGAACUUGAGAAGUCUGCAGGCUGACUUUUAAGAGAACAAAAGUAUAUUAAUUGCAUGAGUAGAAGAUAAUUUCAGGGAUUUGCUGAAAUAUCUUGGUUCACAUGGGAAUGGCUAUGCUGACAGGUAGCCCCUCAAAGAGGAGGUGAGAGAAGGUAGUUGGCCUACCCUGCAUGCCUUCCAAGACCUCCUGAUUUCCAGGCUCUCUUCACCCUGGAGGCAAAAGUAAGCAGCAUGUUCCACAUGGAGGAAGGAUACAAAAGGUCAAGAACCCAAAAUGGAAUGCUGGUCAUUCUCCAUUUCAUUUGUCACUCAGAAACACUCAUCCUUUCAUGGCUUAAGUGAAGCCACCUCUCACUGCACUUUAUUUUCUUGGAGGCUGGAGCCCCAUGGUCUGGCUUCUAUUUCAUAUGCUGUAUUUAAUUUUCAUAAAAUCCAAGCAAAUAAAAUAAUUUGAGAAAAACUGAAAGUGAGCUUACAUAUCCAUACACUUAUGUGUUCACUAUAGAAAGUUUACGAAAGAGAGCUGAUACUUCAUGUGACUUUAAAACAAACUAACUAACCAGCUAACUAACUACCUGCGUUAUUUCUUCCAGAACAUUGUCUCACACAAAAUUAGAUACUAAGUUUCUGACUAGUGCAGAUGAUUUCACACAUAUCUCAUAGCCUUGAAAUAUUUCCUUCAGAAUAUGGUCUUUUCAGAUGUUUUAGGUUAGACAUUACAUUUAGUCAGUUAUUGUGCUAAAUUCAGAGAAGAAAACAAACUCACCUUGAACAUUCUGAGGAUUUCUUUGGCUUAAUGGAGACAAAUCCUUCACUUAAUGGCUGGCCCUUAGUACUCAUAAAACAAACUCAUUUAUCCUGAACAGUGGGGUGGGAUGUCAUGGAGUUGGUAAUUAUUAAUGACAACUAAUGGCUGGUAGUUAUUGAUGACAUUUGUGAGAGUAGGAUAAAAAUAAUAAUUAUAAUAAUGUGAGGUGUCAUGAACAAACAGUAAUUGCAAUAAUGAUUGCUAUUAUAAUAAUGAGCGAGAAAAUGAUUUUAGGUUAUUAAAUCAAUAAAGAUAAUGGGAGUCUGCAUGUGCGUGUGUGUCACACGUGCACACGCACACACCCAACACACACAUAAUUGUGAAAAUAAGCCAGAUAAAAAUAAUAGUCAUUCUUGAUUGAAGACUUAAUAUGUGCCAAGCUCUGUGCCUAAAACAUAAACACAUUAUCUUCUUGAAUUCACAGUGGCUCUAUGAGUAGACAUUAUUGAUAACAUUAUUUUCCUAGCUAUGCUAAUAAGAAAACAGAAGUUUGGAGCAGUUACACAAUUUGAUAACAGUAACUUAACAGCUGGUAAAUGGCAAAAAGGAAAUUUAAACCUGGUCUAGCUAAUACCAGAGUCCUUGCACUUAACCAGUAUUCUAUAAUUGCUGAAAGGUAACACAUGUAUUCUGUUAUCUAGGAUACCUGAGCUGCCAGGUACCCUAAGGGUAUGGGUCCGACUGUCAAGUUAUCUUAGACCCACAAGUCACAGCUGGCAGUAGGACCUGCCAACAGAUCGGCAUGGUGAGGACCCCACAGAGACAAGCCCACAGAAUUGCCCAAUGGAGAAACACCAUUUCUGUAAAGAGAAGGGACCUGGGUACAAACUCUCAUAAAAAGGUGCCUCCUUGGUUUUUUUUUUUUUUUUUUUCCAUCAGAGCUAUGACCUAAGCCAUUCUUUGACUUUCUCUCCAUGUGCAAGUGACAAAUGCAGUGGCCUCCAAUGACCAUGACUGGAAUGCUCAGGAAAAGCUAUGUGUUUGUAUGUAUAUGUAUUGCCCUAAGAAGGUGAGUGCUCCUGUAACUUCAUCAUGAAUACAUCUAUUAAAAA